rnacentral:lncRNA from 1 species
AUGAGUUCACUCACACAACAGGGAUCAUAUGCCCAUGCAUAUGCUUCUCUGCAGAUACACGUAGCAGUCUAUCAGCCAAGCCUGCAAAGCCACUGCAAGGGAGCAAAGGAGCUACAGCCUGGGGAGAAAAAGAGGAUCAGGUCUGCAGCUUUCCUUCCUGCUGAGUUACAAACUCACUCCUGCUUUAUUCCUCCACUUGGCACUUCCCUGCCUUGGCUCAGAGCACGUAGGCUUCAUCCUCUUGAUGAUCAGCUGAGGAGCAGAUGGAGGAUCAGAGGAGCAGGAUGGCUGCUUUAUGAGGUGUACCCAUGGCAGCAUUCGUGGAAACAACCAACAAGUGACCACGAGCCAGGAUUUCAAAUGCUGCAAUACCCGAAGUUGGAAUGUAGGGGAAGUCAUAGUCAAAGUCAUAGAACCCAGGGAUCCUGCAGUUUUAAAUUUUUCUCAGCUUUCGUUUAAAGCAAAGUGUCUAAUGUUCAUGUUCUCAAACAAAAGCUUGGAAAUGGGAAGCCUUGAACAUCAAAGAAAAUAAAAGAAUCCAAAACUGAUGAUUUUUUUUAUUU